rnacentral:rRNA from 1 species
GCUAAACGCGAAGAACCUUACCUGGGCUUGAACUGUCGGUAUAGGGACCCGAAAGGGCGACGAUCCCGGGCAACCGGGAAGCCGAUAGAGGUGCUGCAUGGCUGUCGUCAGCUCGUGUCGUGAGAUGUUGGGUUAAGUCCCGCAACGAGCGCAACCCUUGUCUUUAGUUGCCAGCGAGUCAUGUCGGGCACUCUAAGGAGACUGCCUCGGAUAACGAGGAGGAAGGUGGGGAUGACGUCAAGUCAGCAUGGCCUUUAUGUCCAGGGCUACACACGUGCUACAAUGGGCGGCACAGAGGGACGCGAGACCGCGAGGUCAAGCCAACCCUUAAAACCGUUCUCAGUUCGGAUUGCAGGCUGCAAUUCGCCUGCAUGAAGUCGGAAUCGCUAGUAAUCGCGGAUCAGCUACGCCGCGGUGAAUACGUUCUCGGGUCUUGUACACACCG